CCUACGGGUGGCAGCAGUGGGGAAUAUUGGGCAAUGGACGCAAGUCUGACCCAGCAACGCCGCGUGAAGGAAGAAGGCUUUCGGGUUGUAAACUUCUUUUCUCAGGGACGAAGAAAGUGCCGUUCCCUUUGGAUUAAGCCCCGCUUAACUACUGGCAUCCGGCCGCGGUAAUACGGAGGUGGCAAGCGUUAUCCGGAUUUACUGGGUGGAAAGGGAGUGUAGGCGGGGAGGCAAGUCAGAUGUGAAAGCCACGGGCUCAACCUUUGGCUUGCAUUUGAAACUGUGUUCCUUGAGUGCUGGAGAGGCAGACGGAAUUCCUGGUGUAGCGGUGAAAUGCGUAGAUAUAAGGAGGAACACCAGUGGCGAAGGCGGAUUACGGGACCGCAACUGACGGUGAGGCGCGAAAGCGUGGGGAGCAAACAGGAUUAGAUACCCUUGUAGUC
rnacentral:rRNA from 1 species